rnacentral:rRNA from 1 species
AUGCAAGUCGAACGCAGUAGCAAUACUGAGUGGCAGACGGGUGAGUAACAUGUGGGAAUCUGCCUUGUGGUUCAGGACAACAUUGGGAAACUGAUGCUAAUACUGGAUAAGCCCUUACGGGGAAAGUUUUAAUGCCAUAAGAUGAGCCCGCAUUUGAUUAGUUAGUUGGUGAGGUAAUGGCUCACCAAGACAAUGAUCAAUAGCUGAUCUGAGAGGAUGAUCAGCCACACUGGGACUGAGACACGGCCCAGACUCCUACGGGAGGCAGCAGUGGGGAAUCUUGCACAAUGGAGGAAACUCUGAUGCAGCGAUGCCGCGUGAGUGAAGAAGGCCUUUGGGUUGUAAAGCUCUUUUGUAGGGGAAGAUAAUGACUGUACCCUAAGAAUAAGGUCCGGCUAACUUCGUGCCAGCAGCCGCGGUAAUACGAAGGGACCUAGCGUAGUUCGGAAUUACUGGGCGUAAAGCGCGCGUAGGCCGUUGAGUUAGUUAAUUGUGAAAUCCCAAAGCUUAACUUUGGAACUGCAAUUAAAACUGCUCGACUAGAGUUUGAUAGAGGAAAGCGGAAUACAUAGUGUAGAGGUGAAAUUCGUAGAUAUUAUGUAGAACACCAGUUGCGAAGGCGGCUUUCUGGAUCAACACUGACGCUGAGGCGCGAAAGUAUGGGUAGCAAAGAGGAUUAGAUACCCUCGUAGUCCAUACCAUAAACGAUGAUUGCUAGAUGUUGGAAAUUUAUUUUCAGUAUCGCAGCUAACGC